rnacentral:sRNA from 1 species
UUGAAAUUUCAACGAAUGAUCCCGAUGGU